rnacentral:rRNA from 1 species
CAGCAGCCGCGGUAAUACGGAGGGAGCUAGCGUUGUUCGGAAUUACUGGGCGUAAAGAGCUCGUAGGCGGUUUGUCGCGUCUGCUGUGAAAACUGGAGGCUUAACCUCCAGCCUGCAGUGGGUACGGGCAGACUAGAGUGCGGUAGGGGAGAUUGGAAUUCCUGGUGUAGCGGUGGAAUGCGCAGAUAUCAGGAGGAACACCGAUGGCGAAGGCAGAUCUCUGGGCCGUAACUGACGCUGAGGAGCGAAAGCGUGGGGAGCGAACAGGAUUAGAUACCCGAGUAGUCCCUGUCUCUUAUAC